rnacentral:lncRNA from 1 species
GUGGGCGCACAGGGGAGCUGAGCGGAGCUGGGCCGGGCACAGGCGGCCGCAUCGACCACGGGCACCACGAGGGCAAGGCAAAGCAGGCGCUGCACGAGGCGGUGGAGCUGGACCGUGCCAUCGGGCUGGCCGCACGCCUCACCUCGCCCCAGGACACCCUCAGCGUCGUCACCGCCGACCACUCGCACGUCUUCACCUUUGGCGGCUACACCCCCCGCGGGAACCCCAUUUUUGGUCUGGCACCGAUGCAGAGCGAUGUGGACCGCAAGCCCUUCACCUCCAUCCUCUACGGCAACGGCCCCGGCUACAAAAUCGUGGGGGGCGAGCGGGAAAAUGUCUCGGCCGUGGAUUUCGGUACGUGCACCGGGGGCAAAACAACCAGAAACGGUGGCGGGGGUUCAAACUAUUGCUGCUUUUUAACUUGUUGUUUUCAUUUUGGUUUAUUUAUUUAUUCGCCCCUGCCCAGCGCACGCCAACUACCAGGCACAGUCAGCUGUGCCACUGCGCCAGGAGACCCACGGCGGUGAGGACGUGGCCGUCUUCGCCCGCGGCCCCAUGGCCCACCUCCUGCACGGGGUGCACGAGCAGAACUACAUCCCCCACGCCAUGGCAUACGCUGCCUGCAUCGGCCCCAACCGAGCCCACUGCAACGCCGCCGGGCGCGCCGCCGCCGCCAGCCCCCUCCUCCUGCCCUUCCUCACCCUCCUCCUCCUCCUCUGCUAGAGCAUCUCUUGCAAAACAUCGACGGGGGGGGUUUUUUUUCUGGGGUAGCGGCGCCCGGGAAAAGGCGAAAAAGAAAGACUCAGCAGAGCAAAAGCAGCCGCCCGCGGUUUCGGUGGCCACCGCGUGCUGGGCUCUGCCCCUGUAAAUACACCGUUCCUCCCUGUCAUUAGCGCUGCCGUGGGAUUCGGGCUCAGCGCUGCGGCCGGAGCCCUCCUGAAGCAGGAGGGGGGAGAGGCAGCGGGGUCAGCCCCGAAACGUGCGGUGCCAGCACGGCUGAGACCGACCCCGGCACCCAACUCAUCGCACGAGUGAGUGGGCAACUGGAAAGCACCCGCGGGUGGGGAAGCGGCAACUCGCCAGGCGCUCCCUGCCUCCUUUUGCCUCUUUUGUGGCUUUUUUUUUUUUUCUCCUCUUUUUUUUUGGCCUGAAAAAUCCUUUGGUUUGAGGCCAUUUGCUGCCCGGGGCCUUCUCAGCAUUUUGGGGACUCAGCACUGCACGGAGAGCGGAGCCAAGAUGGAUUUAGGGGGCAGCACCCGGUGCUGCUCGUCCCUCGUUAGCCUCUGGUAAUUGGGGAGGGGGCAUCGGGGGGAGAGGGCAGCGGGGUGGGGGGGUGGGGGGGGCUCAGGGUGCACUUUGGGGGGCGGCUGUUGAGGAGUCGGGGGGUUGAGAAGUAGGGGGAGACCCCAGAGAGCGGCUCUGGGUGUGCAAAUGGUGCCCCGUGUGUGCAAAUUGUGCCCAGGGUGAGCAAAAGCUGCUCUGAGUGUGCAAGGGGUGCUCUGAGCGUGCACAGCUGAACGCUGCAGCUGCUGCCCUGCGUGAGCAAAGGGGGCUGUGCACAUGCAAAUGAGGCCUUGCAUGUGCAAAUGCAGCCUUGCACGUGCAAAUGCCACCCUACAUGUGCAAAUGCAGCCUUGUUUGUGCAAAUGCAGCCUUGUGUGUGCAAAUGCAGCCUUGUGCAUGCAAAUUCCACCCUACCCGUGCAAACGGUGUCCCGGAUGAGCGAAGGGGGCCGUGCACACACAGAUGGCAGCGUGCACAAGGCAGUGCCCUGGCUGCAUGAGCAGCACCGUGCCCGUGCAGCUGCUUGCUCAGCUAUGCAACCGUGCACAUGCAAAUCCCCUCGCACGCCCGAGCGGAGCUUUGCA